CGACUACUCCCUCUGUCCCAAAUUUCUUGUCUUAGAUUUGUGUAGAUAUGGAUGUAUCUAAUACUAAAAUGUGACUUGAUACAUCCGUAUCUAAACAAAUCUAAGACAAGAAUUUUGGGACGGAGGGUACUUU
rnacentral:pre_miRNA from 1 species